AGAGCAUAAGCAAAGGGGAAAAAUGUAAGGUCCAAACUGCACACCACCAACGCAACGGAAGCCUUGCGUUAGGGAUCUUGUGCGAAGAGACUUCUUAUAGUAAAAUGCAUCCCACACAAAUAUAUGCGAUGGAAGGUCCCUAAUGGGUAGGAGUACUCGACAAACAACUAGGUAAUCUGAAUUACUUCACCAAGAAAACAGUGAUGUGACCCUAAUGUCAGUAGCCAAGCGAUUGAUUGAACCCUGUCACUCAAUCUAAAUUUAGGAUAAGAGUUGGGCAGAGACACGUGGCAUCGUUGGAUUGGAUCACUUCUUGUGGUUAGAAAAAGGUAAUCAUUUUGUCAUGGAAAAAUUCACUGGAGAGGCCAAUAAAUAGAGGAAUUCUGAUAAGUUUGAAUUUAUUUUUCUUUACCCUGAGCAACAUUUGAGAAAACUAGGCGAGUAUCCAAGACCCCAAGACGCUGAACGAACUUAUUUUCGGCAACAAUUUCGAGAAGCGCAAGGGAACUCCUGGCCGAGGAAACUAGGCUAAGAAGCUAAUUGACUGCGACUAAUUGAUGGUACGUAUUUGCUAACUGCACCGAGUUUUCUCCGCACAACUGCAACUUGGCAAAAGAGGGUGGCAAAGGCUUGAGCCAAAGAAAGGGUACAAAGACGUAAUAGAAUAUGAAGAAAGAUUUCUGUGAGUCGGAUAUAUAGUAUGCAAGAGGCAUACGAUGUGAUACGAAUUAUGAUAAAUGAUAACAAAGAGAGCUUUGAGAAUUAUGAAUUGUUGACAGUUGCGAUAAUUGAAAAACAUUGACGUUUGGAACCAAUGUAUAAAUCUAAAACGGAAUAGUUGAAUUACAUUUCACUUGACGACUGUCUUAGAAACGAUUGUGCAAUGACAAAUUGAUUUAUUUAAA